rnacentral:lncRNA from 1 species
CUGGGCCCAGAUGCCAGGAGUCCAAAGAGAACACUGCUGAUGACCGGUGUAGGAAGAGAGGAAUCGCUUUUGUGUCCUUCCUCAAGAGGUUCUUCUCAAGGUUCCAAAGACCUGGGAGCAGCACACCACCAUGCCCAGAUUUAAGUUUACAGGUAUUUUCUUUUUUUAUAAUUGAGAGAGAGAGAAUCUCAAAAAUUGUUUGGUUUUUUUUUUUUAAUUGCCCAGCCUGACCUGACCUUGAAUUUACUAUGUAACUUAAGCAGGCAUGUACAUAUAUUUGUGUAUAUGGUUUUUAGUCUU